CGGACGGGUGAGUAAUGCUUGGGAAUCUGGCUUAUGGAGGGGGAUAACUACGGGAAACUGUAGCUAAUACCGCGUAAUAUCUUCGGAUUAAAGGGUGGGACCUUCGGGCCACCUGCCAUAAGAUGAGCCCAAGUGGGAUUAGGUAGUUGGUUAGGUAAAGGCUGACCAAGCCGACGAUCUCUAGCUGGUCUGAGAGGAUGACCAGCCACACUGGAACUGAGACACGGUCCAG
rnacentral:rRNA from 1 species